UCUAACGUGGCAGAUAAGUGCAUUGGAUUUAAGCUCCAUAAAUAAAGGUUUAAACUUUCAUUAGAA
rnacentral:tRNA from 1 species